AUGGAGAGCCAAGACAUGCUCGCCGAGAUCCUCCUCCGCCUCUCCCCGCAGCCUUCCUCGCUGCCUCGCGCGUCCCUCGUCUGCAAACGCUGGCGGCGCCUCGUCACCGACCCCGGCUUCCUCCGUCGCUUCCGCGCCCACCAUUGCAAGCAACCCAUCAUCGGCGCCGGACUCCAUCCCGCCCGACCGCUUCUCCCUCCGGCUCGAGGGCGACGCCUGGCACUUCCACGGCUGCCGCCACGGCCGCGUACUCCUUACCCGGAGCGACGUCUAUGGCUUCUACAUCCAGCAGGUCAUGGUGUGGGACCCCGUUACGGGCGACCAGCGCCGCCU
rnacentral:rRNA from 1 species